rnacentral:rRNA from 1 species
UGGGGAAUAUUGCACAAUGGGCGAAAGCCUGAUGCAGCAACGCCGCGUGAGUGAUGAAGGCCUUCGGGUUGUAAAGCUCUGUCUUUUGGGACGAUAAUGACGGUACCAAAGGAGGAAGCCACGGCUAACUACGUGCCAGCAGCCGCGGUAAUACGUAGGUGGCAAGCGUUGUCCGGAUUUACUGGGCGUAAAGGAUGCGUAGGCGGAUUUUUAAGUGAGAUGUGAAAACCCUAAGCUUAACUUGGGGACUGCAUUUCAUACUGGAAAUCUAGAGUGCGGGAGAGGAGAAUGGAAUUCCUAGUGUAGCGGUGAAAUGCGUAGAGAUUAGGAAGAACACCAGUGGCGAAGGCGAUUCUCUGGACCGUAACUGACGCUGAGGCAUGAAAGCGUGGGUAGCAAAACAGGAUUAGAUACCCUGGUAGUCCACGCCGUAAAACGAUGAGUACUAGGUGUAGGAGGUAUCGACCCCUUCUGUGCCGCAGUUAAACACAAUAAGUACUCCGCCUGGGAAGUACGAUCGCAAGAUUAAAAACUCAAAAGGAAUUGACGGGGUC